rnacentral:snRNA from 1 species
UAACCUUCUCGGCCUCUUGGCUAAGAUCAAUUUGUAGUACCUGUUCUUAUCAGCGUGAUAGCUGAUAUGGUCUCAACCGAGACCUUAUCAAUUUUCACAGUAAUUUUUUAUAGGGGAAAGGAUAAUUUUGAAGCUUGCUUCAAGUAACCUUUCGCGCGUUGCCUAACCCUAGCACAAAUAGGUUUGUACAGUGCACCCUUU